GCCAGCUUAAGCUUAAUUAUACAGUAUUUAGCCUGGAGAUGUACAUACCAACUAGCUAUUACCAAUGCUCUUUAGUAGCUGCUCCAGUGGCCACCAUAGUUUGGAUUAUGCGCUUGAAUUGGGAGGAGAAAGAAAACAAAAUUCCGUUGACUGCAAUCUACUGCCAUCUAGUGGUAUCUAACAUUUUUCGAGUAAAAUUGGCUUCCACGCUGAACUUCACGCUGUGCCUGCAUGAAGACCACUAAUAUGAAGUGACCAGAAGGGGGCACUGCAGCACCCAACAGCAGUCUUGCUCUCAGAGCCGCAUGGGGGAUCCUCCUGGAGUUCCAGGCCUCGUCCUCGCUCAGGUCUACACAUACCGCUGAGAAAUUUGGGGUUGUUUGAG